rnacentral:rRNA from 1 species
CCUACGGGAGGCAGCAGUGAGGAAUUUUCCGCAAUGGGCGAAAGCCUGACGGAGCAAUACCGCGUGAGGGAUGAAGGAUUUUGGUCUGUAAACCUCUUUUCUCAAGAAAGAAGUUCUGACGGUACUUGAGGAAUAAGCAUCGGCUAACUCCGUGCCAGCAGCCGCGGUAAUACGGGGGAUGCAAGCGUUAUCCGGAAUGAUUGGGCGUAAAGCGCCUGUAGGUUGUUUAUUAAGUCCGUUGUUAAAGCCUAGGGCUCAACCCUAGAAAAGCAAUGGAAACUAGUAGACUAGAGUAUGGCAGGGGUAGAGGGAAUUUCUAGUGUAGCGGUGAAAUGCGUAGAUAUUAGAAAGAACACCGGUGGCGAAAGCGCUCUACUGGACCAUUACUGACACUCAGAGGCGAAAGCUAGGGUAGCAAAAGGGAUUAGAUACCCCUGUAGUCCUAGCCGUAAACGAUGGAUACUAGAUGUUGUGCAUUAUGUACAGUAUCGUAGCUAACGCGUUAAGUAUCCCGCCUGGGGAGUACGCUCGCAAGGGUGAAACUCAAAAUGAAAUUGACGG